rnacentral:lncRNA from 1 species
ACAACUUAAUGGGCUUAGAAUAUUCAACUAUGUUUAGUAGGAUUAGGCCAUGAGAAACAUAAGCUGAAGAGGUGUGUUGAACCCCUUCAUGUUUCAAUAUUCAUUUUAUAUUUUGCUCGUAACUGAGAUAUAGAAUUCUAUGAAGUUGGUUCAGCUACGCUAUGUAUUUUAAAAUCUAGUUGGAGAACUUCCCUUCUUUCUCCACUUGCUUCAAGUGAAGAUAUUCACCAAAUCAUGUCAUCUUACUUUGAUAUUAUUUGCAACCAUAAAAGAAUUCAUUUUCAUUUAACUUUAUUAAACCCUUGAUUCUUUUUUUUUUCUAUUUAUGACCUUGCUCUCUUUUCAUUAAUAUGAAAUUCAUAGUUUUAUGUUUGUGUCUAGAUAAUUUAGCAGUACUAAGUCUUUCCAGUUAAGGAUGUUCGACAAUCACCAAAUCAUGUCAUCUUACUUUGAUAUUAUUUGCAACCAUAAAAGAAUUCAUUUUCAUUUAACUUUAUUAAACCCUUGAUUCUUUUUUUAUCCUAUUUAUGACCUUGCUCUCUUUUCAUUAAUAUGAAAUUCAUAGUUUUAUGUUUGUGUCUAGAUAAUUUAGCAGUACUAAGUCUUUCCAGUUAAGGAUGUUCGACAAUCUGUUCUGAGUUGAUGGUUUUGUGCUUCUAUAAAAAUGAUGAGGCAGUAGACAGUUGGUUAUUGUUGAUAUUGAUUAGAUUUAAUCAUCUCUUAGCUAUUGGGAGGCCAGGUCGGCUUUGUUGAUUGUUGUUAGGGCUUUAAGAAUUGCUGCAGCAUUUGCUGCCCGGGGAAACAGGGUAUGUUACUGUCAUGAAAAUUAUGAAAUUUGUUUGGUACUGUAAACUAAUGGAUACACUUGUGGAUAAAAUGAGGAACCUGGCUAUAGGUGGAAAUGGACGUAUACCCAAAACUGGAAAAAUAUGUUUAGAAGAAGUCAAGGUCUUUCCCUUAACUAUAUCUGUUUUCUAUGUUCACUGCUUUGAGAAAUUUAAAUUUCUUUUAAGAAACAUAAAAUUUCAUUAGUUGACAAAAUAUUAGAUUACAUGAGAAUUUAUCUUGCUAAAGUUCGUCAUCCCUCCCUUUGACACAAAAUAAUAAAAUAUAUACUAACCAACAUAUUUGAAGAAAGCCGGGAACUUAUUCUUAUAGUUAUAUUGCUAGAACAAAGAACUGAAAGACCCUGGUGUAUAUUUCUAGACAUUAAUUUGAACUCCUGUGUCAUAUGUCUCUCCGCCUUUCCAAUUUUCUGGUAUGUUGUUUACAGGAAUAAUCCAUGACUCAUCUCCAUCCUCCCCACUCAAUAACAUCCUUAAAGACAAUGGACCACUUGGGGGUGAAUUGGUUGUCCAUACUGCUCCAUGACUCCUAUCCAACAGCUUGCACACAAAGUUCUGA